UAUGAUGCUGGGUCUGCAGACAAGCAUCACAUUUCCCAAGAGGUUUCCAAGAGGAGUUCCAUUUGGGAGUUGGGCUAGACUUGAAAGGGAGCAGGCUGGAGAGUCUUCUGCAAGGCAUCACAUCAAAGGAGAGUUAAAGGAAGGAUUUGAAGGAGGCUAGUGAGGUGAAUUUACAACUUUGCAAGUCUCAUUACAUACCUGCUUGCUGGGUGCAUUCUACUGAUUGAGAAAUGAUCCACAAUACCAGAAAAUAUUCCCAACAAAUAGUUGAGCCCAGCCUGGGAAGAAGGGUGAGAUGAUUUUCAGUUACACCACUCUUCAUGUUUCGUGAUAUCAUCCAGGUUAUCCAAACUGGAAGAUACAGGUUUUAAACACUCAAAAAUUUGGUGGGGUGGAGCAAUAUGGUUGGGCUACAGAUUUUGCCUCAGCCCAUCCUAAAGAUAAAGGCCAGUUGUCAAGUAUAGGUCCAGAUUCUGAUUCUUCUACAUGCCAGUGAUGCUGGAAAACCAUAUAAAAUGCUUUUUAACAUCCCUAGUGAAGACUGCCAAACUGACCAUCGAUCACUCUCCUGUUGUCUCUGGUUCUCCACUGGAACAGGAUGAAUAUAGGGAGUUGACAGGAGAGUUCUUUUUGUCAACCCAGUGCAGUGUGGACCCUGUGGUAGAAGAAUCUAAGCUCCAUCGUUUUGAGGGACACUACCAAUGCAACUCAAAUUGCAUAACAAGGUUAACUUGUCCUUGUAGGGUAAACCUGCUCUUAGUUUUGAAUGCACCCAAGUCUUUGUGCAUGCAAACACAGGAAAAUUGCAUUCUCCUGAGUAAAUGUCAGAAUUCAAGAUGCAGCUUUUUCACUCACAGCUGAUCUUUGCAUAUAUAAAAGUUACAGCUGUCAAAAAGUCAAUGCUAAAAAUUGUGGAUACUUGUUUGGAGUUAAAGUUCUGAAAAUGUGGUCAUAAAUAAGGUUCAAGCAGAAGCUUCUUGUAAAUGAUGAUUUCCAAGGGGA